rnacentral:rRNA from 1 species
AGAGUUUGAUCCUAGCUCAGGAUGAACGCUGGCGGCGUGCCUAACACAUGCAAGUCGAGCGGUCUUCUUCGGAAGAGAGCGGCGGACGGGUGAGUAACGCGUGGGUAACCUGCCCUGUACACACGGAUAACAUACCGAAAGGUAUGCUAAUACGAGAUAAUAUGCUUUUGUCGCAUGGUAGAAGUAUCAAAGCUCCGGCGGUACAGGAUGGACCCGCGUCUGAUUAGCUAGUUGGUAAGGUAACGGCUUACCAAGGCGACGAUCAGUAGCCGACCUGAGAGGGUGAUCGGCCACAUUGGAACUGAGACACGGUCCAAACUCCUACGGGAGGCAGCAGUGGGGAAUAUUGCACAAUGGGCGAAAGCCUGAUGCAGCAGCGCCGCGUGAGCGAUGAAGGCCUUCGGGUCGUAAAGCUCUGUCCUCAAGGAAGAUAAUGACGGUACUUGAGGAGGAAGCCCCGGCUAACUACGUGCCAGCAGCCGCGGUAAUACGUAGGGGGCUAGCGUUAUCCGGAAUUACUGGGCGUAAAGGGUGCGUAGGUGGUUUCUUAAGUCAGAGGCGAAAGGCUACGGCUCAACCGUAGUAAGCCUUUGAAACUGGGAAACUUGAGUGCAGGAGAGGAGAGUGGAAUUCCUAGUGUAGCGGUGAAAUGCGUAGAUAUUAGGAGGAACACCAGUUGCGAAGGCGGCUCUCUGGACUGUAACUGACACUGAGGCACGAAAGCGUGGGGAGCAAACAGGAUUAGAUACCCUGGUAGUCCACGCCGUAAACGAUGAGUACUAGCUGUCGGAGGUUACCCCCUUCGGUGGCGCAGCUAACGCAUUAAGUACUCCGCCUGGGAAGUACGCUCGCAAGAGUGAAACUCAAAGGAAUUGACGGGGACCUGCACAAGUAGCGGAGCAUGUGGUUUAAUUCGAAGCAACGCGAAGAACCUUACCUAAGCUUGACAUCCUUUUGACCGAUGCCUAAUCGCAUCUUUCCCUUCGGGGACAGAAGUGACAGGUGGUGCAUGGUUGUCGUCAGCUCGUGUCGUGAAAUGUUGGGUUAAGUCCCGCAACGAGCGCAACCCUUGCCUUUAGUUGCUAGCAUUAAGUUGGGCACUCUAGAGGGACUGCCAGGGAUAACCUGGAGGAAGGUGGGGAUGACGUCAAAUCAUCAUGCCCCUUAUGCUUAGGGCUACACACGUGCUACAAUGGGUGGUACAGAGGGCAGCCAAGUCGUGAGGCGGAGCUAAUCCCUUAAAGCCAUUCUCAGUUCGGAUUGUAGGCUGAAACUCGCCUACAUGAAGCUGGAGUUACUAGUAAUCGCAGAUCAGAAUGCUGCGGUGAAUGCGUUCCCGGGUCUUGUACACACCGCCCGUCACACCACGGGAGUUGGGGGCGCCCGAAGCCGGAUUGCUAACCUUUUGGAAGCGUCCGUCGAAGGUGAAAUCAAUAACUGGGGUGAAGUCGUAACAAGGUA